UCCGGUGGUUGGAGCGGUAUGGUACCACCCCUUCCUCGCCUCGCUGAAGCAAUUCGGCGAAGCGGUCCAUCCCGAACAGGGUCGUGAAACGUACCAGCGGCGACAAUAAUGCAUUCGCAAGGGUGUGUGAAGAUAGCUCAUCGCCGGAC
rnacentral:rRNA from 1 species